rnacentral:lncRNA from 1 species
UGAUUCGAUCAGUAAAUGCAAGCGAGCAUUUGAGUCGAAGUUUAUCCAUUCCUUUUACCCAAAGUGGGAUAAAAGCGAUAUAUGUGGGCCUCUCGAUGAUUUAGUGAUGACAUCUAAGCGCUUGGCCAAGCCGGGACUAAGUUGAUGUGUUCAAUUGUAGUCUGUUAUCAGUCGUCAUGAAUCGGAAGUCGGGAAAAAGUAUAGAGAGAAUGAUUGAAAUUCAUGUCUUUUGUCUAUACGAUAUCUUGAGAAUGGAGGAAUAUAUAAUCCCUUAUCUAGAGGACACGCUAUCUGAUAAGAUCAGAGUUGACAGCGGCUUUUGAAAGCUACGAUUGCUGAUCAGGUUUUGAAGUCAUACGGAAAAUAGUUAUUAGACUUAUCCAAGUGGGAGACUGUUGGAUUAGUGUCUAAGUCCAUAACUAUUUUGGUAUGUACUUGACCCGAUUAUGAGCAUGGUCCUUUUGGGUUGCCUUCACCAUAGCAAUAUGUAGGAUGAUUUAAGGAGAGAAAGGUUUAAAUAUGAUUUAUUAAUAUAUUAUGAGAAUAAUAUAUUAAAGGAGAAAUCAUAUUGUUUAAUUAAUAUUAGUCAAGAAUUAAUUGUUAAUUAAUUUUGUGGCUAAAAGAGAUUAAUUAAACUUAGGGGACUGAAGUUGUAAUUAUAAGAUAAUUAUAAUUGGGCUAUGGAUCACCUAAUAAUAUAUAGGUUGGACGAAUUCUAUGGGAAGCCCAUUAGAAAUCGUCCAAGGGAUAUGUUUAAGGAGUCCAUGGGCUGCUUAGGGCCUAAGCAGUCAAAUUAGGGUUUCCUAGUUGUAAACCCUAAUAGCCUACAUGUAUAUAAAGGGCCCCUAUGCCCCAAAAACGUGAACAAGUCUUCCAUUAGGGUUUCCAGCCGUUUUUGGUGCCUCCCUUUCUUCUCCUCUUCAUCCAAGUUGCAUAUGGUGUUUGUGACUCCAUUAGAGGUACUACACUUGUGGUACUUGCUUUCAAGAGCUAAGGAAAUUCAAGGAACUAGUUGUUAUUGCUAUAUAACAACAAAAGGUAUGUAUUCUAGCUUUAUAUAUGAAUUUCGAAAAUUAUAGUAGCAUGCCAGGUUUCUUUUUGUGUUCAUAAAGCUGUAUAACUAAUAGUGAAAACAUAGAUCCAAUACUAGGGUUGCAUGCACACAUAGGAUUGUUUGUAUUAAACCCAUCAGUGGUAUCAGAGCCAUUGGUUUUUGUUUUCAAUUAGCUUUUAUUCAAAUUUAUGAACUUGACAUAUUAGGGUUUAUGGCUAAUGAACCCUAAAGGCUAGGUAUUUUUCGCAAUUAGGGUUGCUAAACCCUAGAUGGCGAUUUUUGCUAGGGUUUCCCAAAUCCUUUCCUUAGCCUCCAAGAUUUUGAAAUCUAGGGUUUUCCAACCCUUGGAUUUCGAAAUUACCUCCUUCCCCAAGGUUAGAUCCUAAAUUUUAGGGAUUUGGAUAAUCCCAUAUCUUGUAAUUAUCUUUUAAUUGUUAAAUAUGGUAAUUAAAGAUCUUGAAUUAUCCCAUCCCUUAUUUUCGAGAUUUAGAGAGGGAUUCAAGGGAUUUGGAUAUCUUAGAUGUAUAAUUGGUAAUUAUCCUCAUGAUCUAGAUAAUCCCUUGUGAUUUAAUAAUUUAAAUUAAUUGUUUAAUUUAUGGUAAUUAUUAAAUCAACAGUUUUAAUAUUUAAAAUUUUAAUUUAAAUGUCUCAAAUUCAAAAUUUUAAGUGAGAUUAAAACCUAAUUGUUUUGAAGAGUUUCAAAACUUGCCCUCAAGUUUUGGAAUUUAAAUUGUUGAUUAAAAGUUAAUUUUGAAAGUCUAAAAUCCAAAACCCUGAUUUUGAAAAGUUCAAAUUAAACCCUUAUGGUUUUAUUAAAUUAAUUAAGUGUAUAAUUAAAAGAGAUUUAAUAAAUCCAUAAUGAUUUUGGUUAAUUAAAAGUAUAAUUUAAACCACCUAGUAUUUUAAAAGUGUAAAAUACACCCUUAUACUAUAUAUAACAUUAAAAGUUUAAUAUUAUAUAUGUAUAACUAAAAAUUCAGUCUUACCGUUAGUAGGCCUCAUUCACGAAGCUAGUCUAUAAGGGGUGUUUAAGGAAAUUGCCUAUAAAAUGGCGAUUGAAUGGGUAUCCACUCUUACCCACCGCACUCUUGACUAGUGGAGGGUCGUUAGCCGAACGGGUAGGAUAGGACAGAAACCUUCCAUUAUAAGUAUAAUGAAGUACAAAGUAACUAAAUGCUUUUUCAAAUUCCCAAAUCAUAGUUACUUUAGGCAAAAUGUGAAAUUGUAUGCUAACCCAUGGAAUUACACUUCGUACCCUUGUCAAACGUUAGUGGAGCGUGUGUGGUUAACCGGCACACUAAUUUGGGGAUGACAUUGGUAGCGAAGGGUGACUCGAUGUUUGUCAUAGAUCAAUGGAGCGUGUGUGGCUAACCGGCACAUUGAUUAGGUGAUAGUAGCAUUGGGUGCACCACGUGAUUCGUAUGGUUAUUCACACCUUGUUUGUGAUCCUCGGCAUCCCAGUCACAAAUAGUAGGGCAUAAUCGAGAUUAAACAUGCCAUUGAAAAGUUCAAUGAAUCUCAAAAGAUCUAGGAGUUUCAAUUCAUUUAAAACUUAAUCUUCCUUUUCGUUUUUCAUGGUGGAAAUUGGUAAAUCGUCAUUUACCUACCUUCAAAUAUUUUGCAACUAGAUUACGGCAUCCCUCUUCUAGGUUGUAGAGUAUUGUGUUGGAUCCUAGCUUGAUGUUUCAUUUGGGUGUUACAUCAAGAAUUCUAAUCAACUUAACUUGAAUUUUCUCCCGUUUUGUAGAUGUCUGAAUCUUACAAUGGUCUUCCCAAAUCCUUUGGAACAAGCUUUCCAAAUGAAGAUGACGUUCCGAGAUACGAUCAAGGAAAUGAGAGUCAUGCUUCACUUCCUCCACCUCCUCCAAUUGUUCUCCCUGACCCACAAGUUCAAAGGCUUGAAAAGUUCAAGCUCACUCAAGCCCUUUUGGCAAGUAAACACGAAGAUGGGAAACCUGUGUGUGCACACGUCUUAGAGAUGAAGUCACACAUUGAUAGGUUAAGCAUGUUGGGUGUCGAGAUUUCAAGCGAGUUGGCUGCUGACUGGGUUCUUCAGUCACUUCCUGAAUCAUAUAGUGAGUUCGUUAGAGAGUACUAUAUGAUGGAUCACGACGUGACCCUCAUUAAUCUCACCUAUUUGCUUAUAGCUGCUGAAUCAGCAAUGAUUUGGCGUGCUGGUCAAGCAAAUUUGUCUGGUGAAUCAAACUCCCAAACUUCAAUGGACACUGGCAACAUUGGAAGUCCAGAAAGAACUAAGUCUGUGAUUGUCCGAUGUGCUGUGCCAAAGGAGUCCAUUUGCUUUUAUUGCCAAGAGAAGGGGCAUUGGAGACGAAGCUGCCCUAACUACCUGAGAGAUCUAAGAGAUGGGAGAGUCAAGACGUAUGGCUCUGCUUCAGGUAAAAUCCAUUAUCUAACUCUUUUGAGUUCCUAUUCUAGAUUCUUAAUACAUGAUGUGAUAAGAUUACAUUUUGAUGUUUUGUAGGAUCGAAGAAAAGAGAGGAAGCUUGAGGGAAGAAGUGAGCUGAAUCUAAUCAUGAAGAAAUGGAUUUCGAUCGCAUUACUUGAAGAAUGGAUUCUUGAGCUACUACUUGGAGUUAGAAUAGAUUGUUAAGAAAUAUGUAAUAACAUAGUUUUUCAAUUGAAUUGCAUUGUAAGGACAAAUUUUUUCCGCAAUAAAAUGAAUUUUGAUUUUAUCUUAUUUAUUUAUCCUUGCAAUGGCAUGUAUGAAAAAAUUGAUGUUUGAAUGUUUCUAUUAUUAGCAAUAAUGGAUUUGAUUCUUAAUUAUGUUAUUUGUGGAAAUGUCAAAAGUUUACCAAAUAGGGAGAGUUUCUCAUCGCCCAAGUUUCAAUUGGACAGAAACUUGGAAUCAUGCAAUGUGUAUUGUAUGAUGAAUGAAAAACUUUCACAUUUGGGAAACUUAGACUAAUUCUUUGACAAAGUGUCAAUUGAAGGACUAGGAGAUCAAGUACACUAGGUUGUGCGUUGAUCAAGUCCACCACAAGAGUGACAAAGAUAUUCGUCAUGAUUUACUAAAGUUUAGUAAAUAUGAUUAUACUUAUAAGAUUAAGUGUAAUUCUGAGUUGAUUGAAAGAGUUUCAAUGAAUAGUAGAACGAAUAAAGAAGAAUCAAGUAGGCAGAAAGAUAAAAGUUUCUCCAUUCUAAGAAGAAGGGAGAGUACCUUUUAUUGUGUUUUAUGAUAAGUCUUAAUGAUUAAGAACCAUGUCUCAAUUGAUCCUCUAAGUGAGUCUUAGUGCAAUUGCAUGUCUAAGAAGAGGAAUCGAGAAUUGUAGAAAUGGUUAAAUCAAAGAGUCAAUCAUACUUCGUUCCAAUAUCAAGUCUUAGAGUCAUACUCCAAGAUUGUGACAUUGAGUGACAAGUCUUAAGUAGGUUUAUAACACUCAUCAAAUGUGGAAUUUGGAAAAGUUUUCUUAUUCUUGCACAUUAGAAAUUGGUAAGUUGUGAUGUCUUGGAUAAGACAAAGACCAACUAGGACCAAUUUGUGAAGUGUUUUGUCUUGAUAAGAACUACACUAACUCUUGAAUAUUUGCUUUGUCAAGAAAUGUUUCUUGACAAGAGAAUCUUAUAUGUCAAGGAGUCAGUGGGAGUCUUAAUGGUCUUGAAAGGUUUCAAGAACAAAUCAAGAAUAAACCUUAUCGAUCAUCACUAGCACACGACUUGAGGUUUACAACCUAUCGUGCUGACAUUAUUUUGUUUCUGUGCCAUUCCAAUUGAGUUAAUUGUGUAUGUGAGUUCUAUGAGUUCUCAUUUGAAUGCAUACUAGAGCCUUAGUCGAUGGAAAGUACAUUGAUAUGUAAGGACAAGUUACUAAACUACUUGGAAGACAUGGUGGGCACUCGUGUUACCAUAAGGCAAGAAAUCAAGAUUAAGAAAGUUCAGUCCAUAUGAGUUUGGAUUUGUCGCAAACCUUGGUUUUGGCAAAUUCACAUGGAUAGGAACUCAUACACCAUAAAAUCUAAGUGUCAUAAGAUUCCCUCCUUCAUGAAAAUGACUGUGAGGAAAUGCUUUCACUAAGAGAGAUUUUAAGAAGAUAGCGAUUGUGAAAAUUGUAUUCUCAAAUUCGAUUAUGGUUACGGCAUCCCUUUCCAUAGUUCGAAUUGUGAGAUUUGGCAAUUAGUUUGAACAUUUGGAACUUAGUAACAUAAGUUCUGAAUUGUUUAAACACACAUAUGAGCUAUCUAAGACAAAGGUGUAUAAGGUUAAGAAGCCUAGAUAAAGGCUUAUCGAAGCAUCUGGUAUUAGAAAUAUGAAUUUCAGAAAUUCAAUAGGCAUUGUUUUCUGAAAGUUCAUUUGUUUUCUGAAUACAUGUCAAAGCUAGUGGGAGCAUAAGUGUUAUGCUUAUAUGAUAAUAAUCAUCAUGAUAGUGGGAGCAUAAGUGUUAUGCUUGUAUGAUUAUUAUGGCGAGUAUUGCAAGUUAGCAAUAUUAAUUAUAGAAAAACAAAGAUUCAAUUUGCAAAGUUGCAUGGGUUGAAAAGUUGUUUUGAUAUAAUUAAGGGAGAGAAUAUUAUACUUCGUUUCAAAAUCUAAAGCUUAGAUUGAGAAAUUUUAAUAUUUUCAGUCAAAGGAUACAUUGUGUGUUCUUAAAAUUCGAUUAUGAUUACGGCAUCCCUCUUCAUAGUUCGAAUUGUGAGAACAUGACACAUAAAAUAUUAUGGCAAAAGAUUGGUAAAGUAUCAUAUCUUUAUGUAAGACAUUAUGCAUCGUGUCCCAUACGCUUCGGGUAUAGGAUCGAUUGCAAAUGCUAUAAUAUUUUACCAUUCUAAAAUUUUCCAAAUGUCUAGCGCAUUAAGAGGGAAAAAGGAAUAGAAUUGGUUUUGACUAAAAUAAUUUAACAACUAUCAAAGGAUGAUCCAAAGUUCGCUGAGGAUUGAUCGCUUGUGAGUAGUUGGAAGUAUGGUAUUGGAUGGACCAUAUCGACAUUAUUAUGAAUAGAUAAGAUUCUAUUAAGAAUGAGUUGUCAUAUGGCAAAUGUGGAAAUGUUUCCAUAUUGGGAGUUGGAUAUUGAGAUUCUAUGCCUAGAUUAGAAACUUUUAUGCAAGAAGGAUGUUCAAAGGAAUGUACUUUGAAUGUGAGACUUCACAUCUAUGGAAUUGUCUUGUAACAAUUUCUAAGAAAGCACUUUGUAAUUUCAUUAGCCAAGUCUUGGUGACUUUUGUGCUAUGACUUUACGAAAGGAUCGUUGCGUAAAAUGUUAGAAUCUAGCAUAUUCUAGUAGUGGCAAGAACCUUGUGUUCUUACACUAAUAAUUAGGAUUAAGGAAUUGUGAAAUGAGCAUCAUUGGAAAAGUUUUCAGGUGAUCUAUUUCACAAAGCAUGGACCAUAGGAAACAAAGUGUGCAUGUUUAGAGCAUGGGACAAUUGUUGGUAUAAUUCAAGUAAUGAGUUGAUUAUCCGAAACAUUAAAUGAUAAAUAAUGAGUAAUCAAUAUGGUGGAUAAAUAGAAGGGUUUUAUUUACUCUCACAAGUUUGGGGCCAUAUAGGAUUAAGUAUUGUUGUCAUGUUUCAAUUUGCAUGUUUUGACUUCCAGAAUAACUAGGUUAUUCAAACAUCCACAGUUGGUCAUACGUUGGGAGUAGGUAUGAAUAAAGACUGUCAUGAAUCUGUCUGUAGAUUGUCUGAAGUGUUUAGACAUGGCACAAGUUUGCUGCAGAGUUCGUGAGUGCUUUGAUAAGAUUAAAGUAUUGGAUUAAACCCACGCUCACUUGGAUCACUUCACGGUUUUAUCACGAGUGAUUAGUGAGACGAUAAUAUUGUAUAUUCUUGAAACCGAGACGUGUGAGUUGUUAUUUGUUGGUCAGUUACACAUUGAUAAUAAGUAAACGCACCAGUAACUUGGUGUUAUAAAACUUAUUGUUGUGUGUGAUUCGAUCAGUAAAUGCAAGCGAGCAUUUGAGUCGAAGUUUAUCCAUUCCUUUUACCCAAAGUGGGAUAAAAGCGAUAUAUGUGGGCCUCUCGAUGAUUUAGUGAUGACAUCUAAGCGCUUGGCCAAGCCGGGACUAAGUUGAUGUGUUCAAUUGUAGUCUGUUAUCAGUCGUCAUGAAUCGGAAGUCGGGAAAAAGUAUAGAGAGAAUGAUUGAAAUUCAUGUCUUUUGUCUAUACGAUAUCUUGAGAAUGGAGGAAUAUAUAAUCCCUUAUCUAGAGGACACGCUAUCUGAUAAGAUCAGAGUUGACAGCGGCUUUUGAAAGCUACGAUUGCUGAUCAGGUUUUGAAGUCAUACGGAAAAUAGUUAUUAGACUUAUCCAAGUGGGAGACUGUUGGAUUAGUGUCUAAGUCCAUAACUGUUUUGGUAUGUACUUGACCCGAUUAUGAGCAUGGUCCUUUUGGGUUGCCUUCACUAUAGCAAUAUGUAGGAUGAUUUAAGGAGAGAAAGGUUUAAAUAUGAUUUAUUAAUAUAUUAUGAGAAUAAUAUAUUAAAGGAGAAAUCAUAUUGUUUAAUUAAUAUUAGUCAAGAAUUAAUUGUUAAUUAAUUUUGUGGCUAAAAGAGAUUAAUUAAACUUAGGGGACUGAAGUUGUAAUUAUAAGAUAAUUAUAAUUGGGCUAUGGAUCACCUAAUAAUAUAUAGGUUGGACGAAUUCUAUGGGAAGCCCAUUAGAAAUCGUCCAAGGGAUAUGUUUAAGGAGUCCAUGGGCUGCUUAGGGCCUAAGCAGUCAAAUUAGGGUUUCCUAGUUGUAAACCCUAAUAGCCUACAUGUAUAUAAAGGGCCCCUAUGCCCCAAAAACGUGAACAACACUUCCAUUAGGGUUUC